rnacentral:tRNA from 1 species
AAAAAGAUAAGCUAAUAAAUUAAGCUAUUAGGUUCAUACCCUAAAUAUAGAAGUAAAAUCUUCUUCUUUUUA